GAUUAAACUGAAGAGUUUGAUCCUGGCUCAGAUUGAACGCUGGCGGUAUGCUUAACACAUGCAAGUCGAACGGAAACGAUGGAAGCUUGCUUCCAGGCGUCGAGUGGCGGACGGGUGCGUAACGCGUAGGAAUUUACCUUAUAGUCGGGGACAACUUGGGGAAACUCAAGCUAAUACCGGAUAAUCCUUACGAGGGAAAGGGGGCCUCUUCUUGAAAGCUCUCGCUAUUAGAUGAGCCUGCGUCAGAUUAGCUUGUUGGUGAGGUAAUGGCUCACCAAGGCGACGAUCUGUAGCUGGUCUGAGAGGACGAUCAGCCACACUGGGACUGAGACACGGCCCAGACUCCUACGGGAGGCAGCAGUGGGGAAUAUUGGACAAUGGGG
rnacentral:rRNA from 1 species